AGAAAGCGAGCCAUCUAAGUCCUGCACACCUCUUGCCAACCAGGGCCUCAUUGCCAUUGGACUAGCCAUAGCAUUAGCAUGUGUCUUCAAACAGGUAGCCAAGGUAGCCUGUCCAGCAUAACCAUGAUGGUUUGAAAAUGCUGGAGGGUCUCCGGACGUCUCCGCUGCAAUGAGCAACGCAUGACAGUCUGUGUGUGUGUGUGUGUGUGUGUG